GAUGAACGCUGGCGGCGUGCUUAACACAUGCAAGUCGAACGAAGCACCUCUCCCGAUGUUUGACACAGCUUGCUGUAGAUUGAUUCAUUUGAGUUGACUGAGUGGCGGACGGGUGAGUAAAGCGUGGGUAACCUGCCUCAUAGAGGGGGACAACAGUUGGAAACGACUGCUAAUACCGCAUAGUAAGAAGAAUUCGCAUGUUUUCUGCUUGAAAGCUUUAUCGCUAUGAGAUGGACCCGCGCCUGGUUAGCUAGUUGGUAAGGGAAUGGCUUACCAAGGCGACGAUCAGUAGCCGGGUUGGGAGAGUGAACGGCCACAGUGGGACUGAGACCCGGCCCAAACUCCUACGGGAGGCAGCAGUGGGGAAUAUUGCACAAUGGGGGAAACCCUGAUGCAGCGGCGCCGCGUGAGUGAAGAAGUAUUUCGGUAUGUAAAGCUCUAUGAGAAGGGAAGAUAAUGACGGUACCUGACUAAGAAGCCCCGGCUAACUACGUG
rnacentral:rRNA from 1 species